AUCCUGAGCAGUUAUGUCCUGACAAGAUCCCUUUGAAUACCUUAGUGAUGCUUUCCUUAUUCAUAAAUCGAGUGACACAUCAAUAUUCCCUCUGUUUACAGUGUGUUGCUUAACUUCUGCCGACCCUCCAAUAAAAACUCAUUCCUUUUGAAACGAGACCUGACUCAGCGUGUCUUCAAGUGUUCCCACAAUUCUCACCUCUCUGCACUGGAGUGAAGUGACCGAAGCGGAUCUCAAGGUUGUAGAGAGGAAGAGAAUGAAUUGAACGGAUACAGAUGUCUGAAGGAAUUAUAGUCGGGCACAUACUGUACUGUACUACAGCGUUGUCAAUAUAAACUCUCCAUGGCCGAUGCACUCACACUCC